CACGUGGAUAACCUACCUAUAAGACUGGGAUAACUUCGGGAAACCGGAGCUAAUACCGGAUAAUAUUUUGAACCGCAUGGUUCAAAAGUGAAAGACGGUCUUGCUGUCACUUAUAGAUGGAUCCGCGCUGCAUUAGCUAGUUGGUAAGGUAACGGCUUACCAAGGCAACGAUGCAUAGCCGACCUGAGAGGGUGAUCGGCCACACUGGAACUGAGACACGGUCCAGACUCCUACGGGAGGCAGCAGUAGGGAAUCUUCCGCAAUGGGCGAAAGCCUGACGGAGCAACGCCGCGUGAGUGAUGAAGGUCUUCGGAUCGUAAAACUCUGUUAUUAGGGAAGAACAUAUGUGUAAGUAACUGUGCACAUCUUGACGGUACCUAAUCAGAAAGCCACGGCUAACUACGUGCCAGCAGCCGCGGUAAUACGUAGGUGGCAAGCGUUAUCCGGAAUUAUUGGGCGUAAAGCGCGCGUAGGCGGUUUUUUAAGUCUGAUGUGAAAGCCCACGGCUCAACCGUGGAGGGUCAUUGGAAACUGGAAAACUUGAGUGCAGAAGAGGAAAGUGGAAUUCCAUGUGUAGCGGUGAAAUGCGCAGAGAUAUGGAGGAACACCAGUGGCGAAGGCGACUUUCUGGUCUGUAACUGACGCUGAUGUGCGAAAGCGUGGGGAUCAAACAGGAUUAGAUACCCUGGUAGUCCACGCCGUAAACGAUGAGUGCUAAGUGUUAGGGGGUUUCCGCCCCUUAGUGCUGCAGCUAACGCAUUAAGCACUCCGCCUGGGGAGUACGACCGCAAGGUUGAAA
rnacentral:rRNA from 1 species